GACGAACGCUGGCGGCGUGCUUAACACAUGCAAGUCGAGCGGUAAGGCUCCUUCGGGAGUACACGAGCGGCGAACGGGUGAGUAACACGUGAGCAAUCUGCCCAUCUCUUUGGAAUAAGCGUUGGAAACGACGUCUAAUGCCGAAUACGACCUCCUUUCGCAUGAUCGGAGGUGGAAAGCUCCGGCGGAGAUGGAUGAGCUCGCGGCCUAUCAGCUAGUUGGUGAGGUAACGGCCACCAAGGCGACGACGGUAGCCGGCCUGAGAGGGUGACCGGCCACACUGGGACUGAGACACGGCCCAGACUCCUACGGAGGCAGCAGUGGGGAAUAUUGGACAAUGGGCGAAAGCCUGAUCCAGCAACGCCGCGUGAGGGAUGACGGCCUCGGU
rnacentral:rRNA from 1 species